GGGGGUGUAGCUCAGGGGUAGAGCACCUGCCUUUUAAGCAGGGUGUCGAAGGUUCGAUUCCUUCCACCCUCA
rnacentral:tRNA from 1 species